CCUACGGGUGACAGCAGUGGGGAAUAUUGCACAAUGGGGGGAACCCUGAUGCAGUGACGCCGCGUGAGUGAAGAAGUAUUUCGGUAUGUAAAGCUCUAUCAGCAGGAACGAGACAAGACGGUACCUGACUAAGAAGCCCCGGCUAACUACGUGCCAGCAGCCGCGGUAAUACGUAGGUGGCAAGCGUUGUCCGGAUUUACUGGGUGUAAAGGGCGUGCAGCCGGGAAGACAAGUCAGAUGUGAAAGCCCUCGGCUUAACCGCGGAACUGCAGUUGAAACUGUUAUUCUUGAGUACCGGAGAGGUCAGUGGAAUUCCUUGUGUAGCGGUGAAAUGCGUAGAUAUAAGGAAGAACACCAGUGGCGAAGGCGGAUGACUGGACGGCAACUGACGGUGAGGCGCGAAAGCGUGGGGAGCAAACAGGAUUAGAUACCCCAGUAGUC
rnacentral:rRNA from 1 species